rnacentral:lncRNA from 1 species
UAACAUUCAAAGAACACCCUUCUCUCAGACUCAGGGCAGGAGACAGACAUCCCAGAGCCUGUAUUCAAAAAGUCUGGGAAUAGCAGCACUAUUCCCACUCUCAGACUGGACCCCCAAACUGGACCAUGCUUUUUAGUCUUGAAACCAUUAUCAAGGGAGUUCAUCCUUCCCACUACUAUCACCAACUGCUGCCCAACUGUCAUUAACAGGCAGUUCUGCACAUGGAAUCCAAACACAUUCUUGAAUUUGAUGGAUACAAAGGAAAUUGGAGCACUAAGCAAUUACUCAAGAAGUCUGAUAAUGGAUAGACAUUCAUAAUUGUAGUUACACCUGCGUUGUUACCCAGGGAAAUAGGACACAUAUAAUUCAUCAUGAAGACAGUCCUGAAAUGCAGAUGUUUUACAGGGAAACAUUUGUGUGAUUAAAAUUAUUUUUUACUUUUCCUCCAGAUGUUUGACUCUUAUUAGAC